rnacentral:misc_RNA from 1 species
GAUGAAGGAACGUAGCGAAAUGCGAUAAGUAAUGUGAAUUGCAGAAUUCAGUGAAUCAUCGAGUCUUUGAACGCACAUUGCGCCCCCUGGUAUUCCGGGGGGCAUGCCUGUCCGAGCGUCAUUGCUGCCCUCAAGCACGGCUUGUGUGUUGGGCUCUCGCCCCCCGCUUCCGGGGGGCGGGCCCGAAAGGCAGCGGCGGCACCGCGUCCGGUCCUCGAGCGUAUGGGGCUUCGUCACCCGCUCUGUAGGCCCGGCCGGCGCCCGCCGGCGAACACCAUCAAUCUUAACCAGGUUGACCUCGGAUCAGGUAGGGAUACCCGCUGAACUUAAGCAUAUCAAUAAGCGGAGGA